rnacentral:rRNA from 1 species
CCGAAAGGGAGAUUAAUACCGCAUAACAUUAUUUUAUGGCAUCAUAGAAUAAUCAAAGGAGCAAUCCGCUUUGAGAUGGACCCGCGGCGCUUUAGCUAGUUGGUGAGGUAAGGGCUCACCAAGGCGACGAUGCGUAGCCGACCUGAGAGGGUGAUCGGCCACAUUGGAACUGAGACACGGUCCAGACUCCUACGGGAGGCAGCAGUGGGGAAUAUUGCGCAAUGGGGGAAACCCUGACGCAGCAACGCCGCGUGAGUGAUGAAGGUUUUCGGAUCGUAAAACUCUGUCUUUAGGGACGAUAAUGACGGUACCUAAGGAGGAAGCCACGGCUAACUACGUGCCAGCAGCCGCGGUAAUACGUAGGUGGCAAGCGUUGUCCGGAUUUACUGGGCGUAAAGAGUAUGUAGGUGGGUGCUUAAGUCAGAUGUGAAAUUCCCGGGCUUAACCUGGGCGCUGCAUUUGAAACUGGGCAUCUAGAGUGCAGGAGAGGAAAGUGGAAUUCCUAGUGUAGCGGUGAAAUGCGUAGAGAUUAGGAAGAACACCAGUGGC